rnacentral:rRNA from 1 species
UGCCGCCUCUCCUAAUCAUGCAAGGCGAACGGAUGAGAAGCUUGCUUCUCUGAUGUUAGACGGGUGAGUAACGCGUGUAACCUACCUAUAGACUGGGAUAACUUCGGAAAACCGGACCUAAUACCGAAUAAAUUUUGAACCGCAUGGUUCAAACUUGAAGCAGUCUUGCUGUCAGUUAUAAUCCGCGCUGCAAGCGAGUUGGUAGGGUUACCAUGGCAACGAUGCCUAACCGAACUGAGAAUCGGCCACGCUGGAACUGAGACACUGCUAAUCCUACGGGAGGCAACAGUAGGGAAUCUUCCGCAAUGGGCAAAAGCCUGACGGAGCAACGCCACGUGAGUGAUGAGGUUCUUCGGUGUCAACUCUGUUUUAGGGAAGAACAUAUUGUAAAACUGUGACCAUCUUGACGGUACCUAAUCCGAAUGCCACGGCUAACUACGUGCCAGUACCCGCGAUAAGCGUAAGUGGCCAUUUUCUGGAAUUAUUGGGCGACAGCGCGCCUAGGCGGUUUUUUAUGUCAGAUGUGAACUCCAAACGGCUCACUCUUGUAGGAACAUUGAUUACUGGACUCGUACAGUGCAGAAAAGAACAAUGGUAUUCCUUGUUUGAGCGGUGAAAAG